GCCGGAAUGAUGGAAUGGCAGACGUGACGGACUCAAAAUCCGUUGGUGGCGACACCGUGUGGGUUCAAGUCCCACUUCCGGCACCA
rnacentral:tRNA from 1 species